AGUGUAUGCUGCUUCUUUCCCCUUUUAUCCAUGGAGAAAGAAGUGACUAAAUGCAUCUAACCUUUUUCAUGAUCACUAAAUUUGUGUGAUCUAUUUUAUGUGCAGAUGUAGUCCAGCAGUUGAUGGAGCUCUUUUAGAACACAAGAUGACCACUCACGGUGAUUUGUAAGAAUUUGGAAAGGAACAAGUAGGGUUGAUAAGAUCAUAUCAAUCAAUGAUGUCUUUUUCAUUUACUGCAAAAAGUUGGAUAACAGGUGUGCAAUUGAAAUGGUAUAGUAGUGUGCACUGGCAACAGAAGCCCUGUUCCUUGAAUGAAUCUAUUCCAUAUUCACACCAACAGGAUCAGGAACUCAAUCUUACUUGAUGAGCACCAACGGGGUUGCUAGCCUAGUGGAAGGAAGUCCUUGCCCUCAUUGCUCGAGUCGGCUGGUUGUGGGUUUGAGUCGACAUGUCCCACCAUCGCUAGUUGGUCCUGUGGAAGUGUUGCUUACCGUAUGGAGGCUUUGGCUUGGGGCUAUGAUCAUUAGCACGGAAUACCCUUUUCUUCCUUACCAACCCCCCCCCCCCCCCCCC